CUCUCUCUUCUCCCAUAGCAAAAACAAGAGUCCGUGGCAUUUAGGAAGGGUGGAGAGAAAGGGAAGAGGGAUGGGAUUUAGCGAGUGUGCAGCAGGGUGGCCGAGCCGACGGUGAGAUGGCGGCAGCAGUAGACUGUGGCUGUCAGCCACAAUUUUCCGACAAGAAGAAGGUGAUAGAUCUCGGAACAGGGGAGGUAGGGGAGGUUAGAGAGGAGGAAAAUCCACCUGCUUA
rnacentral:lncRNA from 1 species